rnacentral:rRNA from 1 species
GUGCCAGCAGCCGCGGUAAUACAGAGGAGCCAAGCGUUGUCCGGAUUGACUGGGCGUAAAGCGCACGCAGGCGGAUGUGCGCGUGGGGUGUGAAAUCUGGCCGCUUAACGGCCAGGCGCCAUCCCAUACGGCACAUCUGGAGGGCUGCAGAGGUCGAUGGAAUUGCCGGUGUAGUGGUGAAAUGCGUAGAGAUCGGCAGGAACACCCAGGGGGAAACCAGUCGACUGGGCAGCACCUGACGCUGAGGUGCGAGAGCGUGGGGAGCGAACCGGAUUAGAUACCCUUGUAGUCC